GCCGCUGUGGUGGAAUCGGCAGACACAAGGGACUUAAAAUCCCUCGGUAGCAAUACCGUACCAGUUCAAGUCUGGUCAGCGGCACCA
rnacentral:tRNA from 1 species